rnacentral:rRNA from 1 species
UACGGGGGGGGCAAGCGUUGUUCGGAAUUACUGGGCGUAAAGGGCUUGUAGGUGGCCAACUAAGUCAGACGUGAAAUCCCCCGGCUUAACCGGGGAACUGCGUCUGAUACUGGAUGGCUAGAGAUUGGGAGAGGGACGCGGAAUUCCUGGUGUAGCGGUGAAAUGCGUAGAUAUCUGGAGGAACACCGGUGGCGAAGGCGGCAUCCUGGACCAACACUGACACUGAUGAGCGAAAGCCAGGGGAGCAAACGGG